GGAAAUUUCAAAAUUUAGCCAAUGAGGAUUGCAGGAUAGUUUGGCAGAUUCAUCGAUCUGUGACAAUCUAUUGUACAUGAAACAGCGCAUCUGCAGACUGCUGGUAGCCUUUUGCUCCCUGCAAAAAUCAAAGCAAAAUGGGCUGGCACCCACAAAGCCCCCCUUCUUCUAAAUAUUAAAACCAAGCCUAAAAAAUUUGACCAUAUUUUG
rnacentral:misc_RNA from 1 species